rnacentral:rRNA from 1 species
GAUGAACGCUAGCGGCAGGCCUAAUACAUGCAAGUCGAACGGGAUCUGAGGGUAGCUUGCUACCCGAUUUGAGAGUGGCGCACGGGUGCGUAACGCGUGAGCAACCUACCCAUAUCAGGGGGAUAGCCCGGAGAAAUUCGGAUUAAUACCGCAUAAGAAUGUAUUAACACAUGUUAAAGCAUUUAAAUAUUUAUAGGAUAUGGAUGGGCUCGCGUGACAUUAGCUAGUUGGUGAGGUAACGGCUCACCAAGGCGACGAUGUCUAGGGGCUCUGAGAGGAGAAUCCCCCACACUGGUAAUGAGACACGGACCAGGCUCCUACGGGAGGCAGCAGUAAGGAAUAUUGGUCAAUGGGCGAAAGCCUGAACCAGCCAUGCCGCGUGCAGGAUGACUGCCCUAUGGGUUGUAAACUGCUUUUGUCGAGGAAUAAACCUAUCUACGUGUAGCUAGUUGAACGUACUCGAAGAAUAAGGAUCGGCUAACUCCGUGCCAGCAGCCGCCGUAA